rnacentral:rRNA from 1 species
UACGGAGGGGGCUAGCGUUGUUCGGAAUUACUGGGCGUAAAGCGCACGUAGGCGGCUUUGUAAGUUAGAGGUGAAAGCCCAGGGCUUAACCCUGGAAUUGCCUUUAAGACUGCAUCGCUAGAAUCGUGGAGAGGUGAGUGGAAUUCCGAGUGUAGAGGUGAAAUUCGUAGAUAUUCGGAAGAACACCAGUGGCGAAGGCGGCUCACUGGCCCGAUACUGACGCUGAGGCGCGAAAGCGUGGGGAGCAAACAGG